ACUUAAAUUGAAGAGUUUGAUCAUGGCUCAGAUUGAACGCUGGCGGCAGGCCUAACACAUGCAAGUCGAACGGUAGCACAGAGAGCUUGCUCUCGGGUGACGAGUGGCGGACGGGUGAGUAAUGUCUGGGAAACUGCCUGAUGGAGGGGGAUAACUACUGGAAACGGUAGCUAAUACCGCAUAACGUCGCAAGACCAAAGUGGGGGACCUUCGGGCCUCAUGCCAUCAGAUGUGCCCAGAUGGGAUUAGCUUGUAGGUGAGGUAACGGCUCACCUAGGCGACGAUCCCUAGCUGGUCUGAGAGGAUGACCAGCCACACUGGAACUGAGACACGGUCCAGACUCCUACGGGAGGCAGCAGUGGGGAAUAUUGCACAAUGGGCGCAAGCCUGAUG
rnacentral:rRNA from 1 species